rnacentral:misc_RNA from 1 species
CGUAGUUCUUCUCGUUAUGGCAGCAACACAAGAAAAGCUGUCAUCUCAAAUAGUAGGCCAAGUUCCUCUGGUGAACCUAGUGAAGGUCGUCCCAGCAGAUUACUCUCAAGUGGUGGCCGUCUGACUUCUUCACAGAGAAUCCAACCUGGGUAUGAGUCAAAAUCAUCUACCCGUGCUGUGGCUUCUUCUAAAGGCACCCGUGAGGACACUUUUAGGAGCUUUCCUCUCAAUCAGGAAGUGAUGAGAGUUUGAUGUAAGAGGUACUUGCUUAAGCCUCGGAUAGAUGCAUAACUCGUCCUUGUCAAGCAAGCAAUCUUGGAAUUUGUAAAACUUGCCAUUGUAUAUCACUUAAUCACUGUCAUAACUGACGAUUUCACAUCUUUUAAAA